AUGGACCAUUAUAUGGCUUCGGGCCUUAAUCUCAGAAAUCCAGGUGCAGCCGGCUGCCAGGGCCAGCGGAGGAAGCUUCUGUGUCUGGAGACACCAGGAUUGCCCACGGAUCCGACCUCUCUUACCUUCACCACUCGGUGCUGGCCCGUCAUCUAGACAUCAUGUCUUUGCUUAACAUUCUGACAGCUCUCGAAAUGCAAAUAUCCCCGGGGUAAGAUUGUGGCAUCUUAGCAAAAAUGAGCAAUGUAUUAGGUUUGAUAAAGACCAGCUGGAAGGUGAGGGUAGAGGUGGAACGUGGGCAUGAGGACGCUGUCUCCUGACAAAGGCGGGUGCAGAGGGGGGUGUCUGGGGGUGUAGAGGAGCGAAUCUCAAGUCAUCUGCCCACUUCGCCAUUUUACUUAGAAGGAACUCUGCCCACCAGUAGAUGUUCCUCGUUCUCUCCAGGCUAACAGCAAUGAGUAUGGGGUCCUUGCAUGCCUAAAUAUUUUGUCAAUUCCUUUGGCAACAAAGGGCUGCAUAGUAAGCCAGAUUUGUUCCUUUCACUUGACGAUAAAUUCUGGAUUCAGACCAUUAGAGCUGCCCUUGGGAGGGUAUAAUCGGGAUUUCUGCUAGUGGAAAAGAUUCUUUCCCACUAUAAUGUUGAGACGUGAAUUAAGGAAAAUGCUGCUUUAUUU
rnacentral:lncRNA from 1 species